GACGAACGCUGGCGGCGUGCUUAACACAUGCAAGUCGAACGGAAAGGCCUGCUUUCCCUUGUGGAUUGCGGGUACUCGAGUGGCGAACGGGUGAGUAACACGUGAGUGAUCUGCCCCCAACUUGGGUAUAAGCCUGGGAAACUGGGUCUAAUUCCCGAUAGGACUGCAGGGUGGUGCCUGUGGUGGAAAACGAUUUUCUAGUGGUUGGGGAUGAGCUCGCGGCCUAUCAGCUUGUUGGUGGGGUAAUGGCCUACCAAGGCGGCGACGGGUAGCCGGCCUGAGAGGGUGGACGGGCACAUUGGGACUGAGAUACGGCCCAGACUGAUACGGGAGGCAGCAGUGGGGAAUAUUGCACAAUGGGCGGAAGCCUGAUGCAGCGACGCCGCGUGGGGGAUGACGGCCUUCGGGUUGUAAACUCCUUUCGACCGCGAGGAAGCCACCUGGUUGGAAGGGUGGUGACGGUAGUGGUAGAAGAAGCACCGGCUAACUACGUG
rnacentral:rRNA from 1 species